GACCUGGUGGCGAAUAGUUUCGCGCCCACUUCACAUUUGUGUGCUUUGACGCCACGAAUCAUGUGUAAACGGGAAGUUCUGGUUCGACUCCAGGCCGGGUCG